AUCCCUUGGACUCAGCAAGAUGGAUUGUGCCAUUGCCUAGUUGACUGAAUGAAGUGAAAGUGUAAGGACAAACUGAAUGGACUGAAGACAGAACGAAAAAUGAGCAAUCUUGUAUAAAGAUAUAGAAAAAGUUGAAUAAUCUUACUUAAAGGAUAAGAAAAAUAGUCAGAUGAGGAAGAGUCCAGAGGAUCUGUCUGCACCCUGGAAACAGAAUGGUUUGGACUAAGGUCUGGAGCUUACUGCCGUGUCUUGUGGAAAUCUGUUUCAAGAGGCCAAUGGGUCUGUGGCUGGAGGCUGAAGGACCCAUGUCAGAAGCAGAAAAGUCUGUUCUAGAAGCCAGAAGAUGAUGCCCAAGCACUCUGACCUAAGAUCAAAUCUCAACUUGCACUUGAACUUAUUCGUCUUCUCUAAAACUACAGGCCUCCAGCCUAAGAGCAAUGUAUGCAACAGUGUUAUCGUAUUUAAAACCUCUCACUCUUACUUGAUUUCUGGCAACUCUGAUAUACCAUGCACCCCAGCAUAUUGAAUCACCCCGAAAGCAGUGUGAAUCACUGGAGGGCUCUGGGUAGCACACUAACUGCUUUGGUUGAGAGAAAUGAUCAGAGAUAUUUAAGCAAUGAACAGAAAGGUUACUGGCAGACUGACAGGAACAAAGAUAAAAGGUUGGAGAAAAGAGGAUUGAUGAAAUUAAGAGAAUGCACUGAAUUUGGGAAGAGCGGGAGAAAAGAAAAGAAUAGGAAGAAGAGAGAAAUACAUAUUUUCCCCAACUAUUGUUUUCAGGUGCUUUUCAGUGACUGCAAAGCCGAAAUUUUC